rnacentral:snRNA from 1 species
UGACUCUGGUUUCUCUUCAUUACGCACAAGCCUUUCGCCUUUUACUAAAGACUCCCGUGGAGAGGACACAUUACGAGUUCCACGUAUUUUUGGAGCGCUUUGCUUCUUGCAGAGCC